rnacentral:lncRNA from 1 species
AGAGGUAGUCAGGCAGACGAAGGGUCCAGCCAGCUGAGGAACCUUCUCAAAUGGCAGCACCCUGUGCACUGUUAAGGCGCCUUACCGGACUGCCUGGGAAGAAUUCAGCAGGGCCUCCAGGGAUGCACUCCAGCAUUCCAGAGCAUCCCUGUUCCCGCUCUUGGGCAAUCUGACUUCUCCAGGCCCUGGCUUCUCUAUGAAACAGGAGUGACACCUUCCAGCUGCUCUGGAAUGAACCUGAUCCAGAGCACAAGAAAGUAGGGGCAAGGGGCGAGGGCUGUCAAGGCUCCUUCCCCUAGUCCCAGCAGGGCCACACACCUCUGCAUGUGGAGGUACUCAGGGCAUAGAAGCACAGAGGAGCAAGCCUGCCUGGUGUGGGGAGACUUUGGGACCCGAGCUCCUGCUCUGGGUAGCUCUCUGGAGCAUCCUCACCUGACCCUGAGUCAGAGGAAGGGACCACACUAGCAGAGGCUACACAGGUCCUACCAGUUGUUGACAGGGGAAAUUAAAAGGAGACAGAAAAACUCACCAACAACAACACAGCCCCCUCUCUCAGAAGGGCACAGAGCUGAGGACCCUCUUCUGCCCCCUGCUCUGGAGGAGCGCUCUCUCAUCUUUCUCCAAGCUCUUCCCUGACCUCCCACUGUAGCCUACCCUGCAAGACGCAGUGUGCUGGCUCUACCAGAAUGCAGUUAGUUUCCAGGACCCUGGCCUCCUCCAGCUUCUGUGGGUGACUGGGGUUCAGGACUUCCCAGUCCUGGGAUUACUCUGUCCCCUUCCCGAGGAGGGUUUUGUAUGAUGCUGGACUCUGUGUCUUGGAAAACUGGCUGGUUGGAGUGCCUUUUCUCUGCCACGCUUGGCCUCUUGUUCAUAUACAUUAUGCACCCCUUUCCAAAUUUGUGUGGGCCAGGCAGGCUGCCCUGACUGACAGCCUUCUGUGCUCAGCGGGCAAAGGUCUAGACCUCAGCCCCCGGGGAAUAACCACAAUGGUAGGAAGAGCAAGUAUGGAACAAGCUGGAUGUGGGUUACAGCUCUGCUUGUUGGCUCUGUGAUGUUGAACAGGCUACUUUCUGGUCUCUAAAUCCCAGUGCCAAUAUCCCACCCACGGUGGUUAUGAGGACAGAGAGAAGAGGAGCAACACGCAGGGAAGGUUCAAGUUCCGGACCUUCCCACCUGUCCAUCAUACCUUAUCCUCCUCCAUGAAGGUGAUUGGCUGUAUGUGCUAGCAGUCAUGUGUUUCGAGCUGCCAUCGCCUAACCAUGAGGACACUUCUUGAGCUUCAAAGCCUGGGCAGCGGACACCAUUUAUUUCGUUUGCCCCAAGAGCUCCUGUGCUGGGGUAGGGGUGGGGGUGGGGGACUAGGGGUGGGGGCAGUGUUAAGAAGCUACCAGACUGUAAAGUAUGGGAUGGGAACACAACGAUCAUAUCCCAAUGGGUACCUGAUCGAAAUGGUCUUUAGCAUCUGGACUGUCCCUGUACCUCUCUGCCCCUGGCUUGGAUUCCACCUUAUCAUGGGUCUCCUCCCUCACACCUUCUCCGGGACACUUUCAGAACCAGGGAUGAUACCUCUCUCUUGCAAGUCCGAGAAACCUCUGUCCCAAACAGGCUU